AUGAAUUGCAUAACGUGGAAAUGUCGCGGGGUUGGGAACCCGGAGACAGUUCGUGAACUUCACCACUUGGUGAGGGUGGAAGCGCCCACCUUAGUCUUCUUGUCAGAGACGAAGAUUGAGGGGAAUAAAGUAGUGGACAUGCGAGCAAGACUAGGUUUCGAAGGAUGUAUACCUGUCAGCAGUAACGGGCUGAGUGGAGGACUUGCCCUUUUCUGGUCUAGAGAGGUGGAUGUUAAGCUCAACAAUCUAUCUAACCAGCAUAUAGAUGUUAUGGUAAGGAAUGUGGGCAGCGACCAGAAAGAGUGGCGUUUUACAGGCUUUUAUGCCAAAGCAAAGAGGAGUGAAAGGAGUGAGAGCUGGACACUUUUGAAGUGGUUGCGGUGCCAAAGUGAUGUCCCAUGGCUGUGCGGUGGGGACUUCAAUGAGAUUACGGACAACAUGGAAUAUUUCGGGGCUAAUGAAAGGGCGAAAUGGCAGAUGCAAGGUUUUCGUGAGGCCAUCGAUAUGUGCAAUCUUCAGGACCUGGGUUUUACCGAGAUCCCGUAUACUUGA
rnacentral:rRNA from 1 species